rnacentral:rRNA from 1 species
UACGGGGGGGGCAAGCGUUGUCCGGAAUUACUGGGCGUAAAGAGCGUGUAGGCGGCCAAGCAGGUCCGUUGUGAAAACUGGAGGCUUAACCUCCAGACGUCGACGGAAACCGCGUGGCUAGAGUCCGGAAGAGGAGAGUGGAAUUCCUGGUGUAGCGGUGAAAUGCGCAGAUAUCAGGAAGAACACCAAUGGCGAAGGCAGCUCUCUGGGACGGUACUGACGCUGAGACGCGAAAGCGUGGGGAGCGAACAGG